rnacentral:rRNA from 1 species
UACGAAGGGGCUAGCGUUGUUCGGAAUUACUGGGCGUAAAGCGCGCGCAGGCGGCUAUCCAAGUCAGUGGUGAAAGCCCGGAGCUCAACUCCGGAACUGCCAUUGAAACUGUUUAGCUUGAGGAUGAGAGAGGUGAGUGGAAUUCCCAGUGUAGCGGUGAAAUGCGUAGAUAUUGGGAGGAACACCAGUGGCGAAGGCGGCUCACUGGACCGGUACUGACGCUGAGGCGCGAAAGCGUGGGUAGCAAACAGG